UUUUCCAGUUGUGAAAAAGUUUUGAGGCAAGCACAAGGAGGCAAGGGCCCAGCUUAGAAGAAACAAGCUGUGACAUGAAGAAUUUUAGAAAGAAAAAACAGAUGAAGAUACAGACCAUAAGAACAAGGAAUAUUAGCUGUGGGAGAUCUGGUCUGGGAUGGCUUCCUGGAAGAGGUGGAACACGAACUGCAUUGCAGAGUGAGUAGGACUUAUAACUGGGCAGUAGCCCAGAAGGCAUUCCAAGUAAAGAGAACUGACUGAGAAAGAUUGCAAAAUGUGUUUGCGGGGCAAUGACGAGAAGAAAGGUGGAGAUCUGUGGCCGCUGCAUCAUUGCUACAAACGGGGGACCUCAAUCACAGGAAACCAACUGUAGUUCGUCCAGAGGUUCUUUAGAGAUUCCUCCCCUGUGCCAGUGCCCAUGGGGCUCUUAGCUCUCAGCAAGUGUUCAGCAGAAACUCUUGAUUCUAUUUGAGUUAAACAGAUGCUGCUGAGAAAAUAAUGCCAACAUAGGGAGUGCACAAAAGACAGGCAUGGCUUACCUUUUUGCAGAAAGAAACCACUUACCCAGACAGGUACUGUAACUAUAGACUGUGUUUCAUCGUCCUAACCUAACACCGUGAAAGUCUAAUUCCUCCACCUCUGAGAAAAGGGAGGGCCUCCAACAGACUUUUUUCUUUCCAUCAUGAAUUUUCUUUAAAAGUCUUUGUUUAGUGCCUAUUAAAAGCCUAAAAAAUUAAGUUUGCUUAUAAGCAAAGAAAAACAUUUUUAAUAUGUCCAAGUAUUGACUGUCUUACCUUAAAAGGUAAGAGCUAUAUCGCUUUAACAGUGCAGAUUGCUGUUUGGAUCAUAUUUUUAGGUCUCUUGGCAGUACAAAUGAUUACACUAACCUCAGAGUGAAUUGUCUGGCUGAUUUAUUUUUCAGCAUGCUCAGAAGAGGUUCUAUACUGUAUCCAAGUUUUUAUUUAUAUUUUUCUUACAAAAAUUCUUGACUAGACUCUUCAUCUAUGAUAAUAUAGCUUAGAAUUAUAUAUUCCUUUCAAUCAUGCAAUAAGUCAACAUUUAGCACUGUUAUGUGCCUAUCACUCUGUUAAUUACAAUAAAACAAAACAGCAAAGUAUAACACCAGAUGUUCAGCCUUCAAAGAAUUUGUAGUCUUUUCAGGAAGACAGGAGUGCCAUAAGUGCAGAAAUUUGACAAUAAUGCGAGGCAUUAUUGAAUACUAAACUGCUUGCUACAUACCGUAAGUAGUAAAGUCAUUAAAAUCUUUAGAGAAGUUCAAUAGUCAAUUCAUGUCCAAAAGGAAUAAUUUUUCUUUGAUUUUUAAAGUUGUCUUACAAACCUUUGUCCUUUGAGUAUGAAAGUGAUUUUUAGAUUUGAGACUUGCUUGCCAGCAAAUACAAUGAACAAAGUUAGAUGAUCGAAUUGGUGACUAUUUUUGGUCCCAGAGUGGUAGGAUUCUGAAUUCAUGGUUAUGAGUUCCAUGUGUAGCUUUCACAUUGACUGUAUCUGAUGCACAUUGGUGGGGAGGAAGCCAGAUGUCAGGCUAGGGAGAUGGAGGGAGGAGUCUGUAGGGGGCAAGGACAGCCUGGCAGAGUGGGAACUUACAUGGGGCCUUUAGAGACAUUAUUUCCAAUAACUAGCUGAGUAAUUCUUUUUCAGAUGGACUUUGUGUAGAACUUCAUGUAAUGCAAUGUUAUUGGUCUAUUAUGAAAUAUGCCUGGUGCUUUUCAUGCAGCUGAGCACAAAUAUAAAUUCUACUCUAUUCA